rnacentral:rRNA from 1 species
UACAGAGGUCUCAAGCGUUGUUCGGAUUCACUGGGCGUAAAGGGUGCGUAGGCGGUCGGGUAAGUCUGAUGUGAAAUCUCACAGCUUAACUGUGAAACUGCAUUGGAUACUAUCCGGCUAGAGGAAUGGAGGGGAGACUGGAAUACUUGGUGUAGCAGUGAAAUGCGUAGAUAUCAAGUGGAACACCAGUGGCGAAGGCGAGUCUCUGGACAUUUCCUGACGCUGAGGCACGAAGGCCAGGGGAGCAAACGGG